GACGAACGCUGGCGGCGUGCUUAACACAUGCCAGUCGAACGGAAAGGCCCUGCUUUUGUGGGGUGCUCGAGUGGCGAACGGGUGAGUAACACGUGAGUAACCUGCCCUUGACUUUGGGAUAACUUCAGGAAACUGGGGCUAAUACCGGAUAGGAGCUCCUGCUGCAUGGGGGGGGUUGGAAAGUUUCGGCGGUUGGGGAUGGACUCGCGGCUUAUCAGCUUGUUGGUGGGGUAGUGGCUUACCAAGGCUUUGACGGGUAGCCGGCCUGAGAGGGUUACCGGCCACAUUGGGACUGAGAUACGGCCCAGACUCCUACGGGAGGCAGCAGUGGGGAAUAUUGCACAAUGGGCGGAAGCCUGAUGCAGCAACGCCGCGUGCGGGAUGACGGCCUUCGGGUUGUAAACCGCUUUCGCCUGUGACGAAGCGUGAGUGACGGUAAUGGGUAAAGAAGCACCGGCUAACUACGUG
rnacentral:rRNA from 1 species